rnacentral:rRNA from 1 species
CCAAUAGCGUAUAUUAAAGUUGUUGCAGUUAAAAAGCUCGUAGUUGAACUUCAGGCCUGGCUGGGCGGUCCGCCUUCCGGGCGAGUACUGCCUGUGGUCGGGUCCUACCUUCUGGCGAAGCGUCAUGGCCUUAACCGGCCGUGGCGGGGAACCAGGACUUUUACUGUGAAAAAAUUAGAGUGUUCAAAGCAGGCACGCGCUUGAAUACAUUAGCAUGGAAUAAUGGAAUAGGACAGUGGUUCUAUUUGUUGGUUUCUAGGACCGUUGUAAUGAUUAAUAGGGAUAGUUGGGGGCAUUAGUAUUCAAUUGUCAGGGGUGAAAUUCUUGGAUUUAUUGAAGACUAACUACUGCGAAAGCAUUUGCCAAGGAUGUUUUCAUUAAUCAAGAACGAAAGUUAGGGGAUCGAAGACGAUCAGAUACCGUCGUAGUCUUAACCAUAAACUAUGCCGACUAGGAAUCGGGCGAUGUUGACAAAAUGACGCGCUCGGCACCUCAUG